GGCUUGGUCCUGACUUUACUAUAAGCUUUAACCUAACUUAUACAUGCAAGUAUCCGCACCCCUGUGAGAAUGCCCUCAAUCCCCCAACCGGGGACGAGGAGCCGGUAUCAGGCACACCACCCAAGCCCAAGACACCUUGCUUAGCCACACCCCCAAGGGAAAUCAGCAGUAAUAAACAUUAAGACAUAAGUGAAAACUUGACUUAAUUAAGGUUAAGAGGGCCGGUAAAAUCCGUGCCAGCCACCGCGGUUAUACGAAAGACCCUAGUUUAUAGAUACGGCGUAAAGGGUGGUUAAAGAAAAAAUUAAAAUAAAGCUAAAGAUCCCCUAAGCAGUCAUACGCUCCACGGAGACACGAAACCCAAAUACGAAAGUUGCCUUAAAUAAACUUUUCCUGACCCCACGAAAGCUGAAAAACAAACUGGGAUUAGAUACCCCACUAUGUUCAGCCUUAAAUCUAGAUGAAGAUUUUACAAAAUCAUCCGCCAGGGAACUACAAGCACAGCUUAAAACCCAAAGGACUUGGCGGUGCCUCAGAUCCACCUAGAGGAGCCUGUUCUAGAACCGAUAACCCCCGUUAAACCUCACCACCCCUUGCCUUUCCCGCCUAUAUACCGCCGUCGUCAGCUUACCCUGUGAAGGCUCAAUAGUAAGCAAAAUGAGUUCAACCCAAAACGUCAGGUCGAGGUGUAGCGCACGAGGUGGAAAGAAAUGGGCUACAUUUUCUACCACAGAAUACUACGAAUAACGCCCUGAAAACAGCAUCUGAAGGAGGAUUUAGCAGUAAAAAGUAAAUAGAGUGUACUUUUGAAAUAGGCUCUGAGGCGCGCACACACCGCCCGUCACUCUCCCCAUCACUACUAACUUAACCAUUUCUAAUAUUAAUACAACAAUACGGGGAGGCAAGUCGUAACAUGGUAAGUGUACCGGAAGGUGCACUUGGAAUAUC
rnacentral:ncRNA from 1 species